GGCUAGGAAACGGGUGCCAGAUUCCAGUGUAUGCUUGCACUGGCUGCCAAGUGUUUGCUUGUCACACCAGAUAAAUGGAACAUCAGCAGUGUUUUAUUUGACCUGCUGACAAGAAAAAUAAAGCAACUCUGACUUUCUCGGUGUGUUCGCCAUUGACCUUGCAUCAUCUGAGUUUGAGGAGGAACAAGUUGCUGAAGACUGCAAGCCUGAGGCUACUUCUCACUGUUCGCUUUAGAGACACAGGUGCAUUCCCAUAAAUUAUAUCUGCAUCUCCAGAUGUAAUGUGAGAACUACAACUGCAAUUUUGGGAAGAUCACUAAAUGUGAACUGCAUCAAGACUCAGGAUUUCCCCUGGAAAGGAUAAAUCUGGAUUAAACUUGGUAAAAUACGAGCUGGCAUUUUGCUGCCAACGACAUUGUGGAUGCUGCAAAAGAACUUAUAUGCAUGAACAACAACAGUCCUGCAGUAAACACCUGUCUGGAAGUAACCAUGGUCUACUAAUUCUUCUUGAAGAACUAGACUGAAGAUUUUAAACCAAAUUUCAUGUUUCUUUAAACACACACACACACACACACACACACACAGGGGUACAUUGUUCAUCAUAUCAUAAACAUGUAUUUUCUUAAUCACAAUCAAAGGAACAAGAGAUUUAGUAAUAAACUGUAGUUUAUGUAA